CGUUGAUACAUGAGGCCCCAGGAGACCACAGACAGCAUUGUGAACAACUCUGUAGCCGAGGACUCUACGCACACUGAUACAACGCAGGAUUACUCAUCAGUGACUGAAGAUAAUUCAUUCAGAGACACACAAACGGCAGGUUAUCGUUUUUCCUUUAUAUAUUGUGUUUUUACCACUGCCCCAGCCCACAAUGGUAUUCUGUUUAGAUUUCAAUGGUGUUUAAAUGCAUAGCUAUACACUAACUAAUAUAAUGGUGGUAUAUAUUAAGUUGAUGUAAAUGCUAUUAUAGAAAUAAAAAAGACCGUAUUGUACUAACUAAUUCAUGUCUUAACAAAAAAAGUUGUCAGAUUGGGGUCACAUAAAAAUCUUAUCCAAUGGUGUUCUGUGGGCAAGGUAGUGGUUCUCAAUCUGUGGCUUGGGACCCCCACGGGGGUCGCCAGUGAAGUCAUACUUUAAGGACUUGUAAGACCCUGAAAGAAAAAUACCAUUUACAGCAUCAGAAAAUAAUCAACAAACCUUGCUAAAACAUUGGGAGGGUUCCCCUCCCCAAUGCAGUUCAAAUAUGAUGGUUUUGGGGGGUCACUGCUGGAGGUUGAGAACCACUGGCCUAAUGCAUAUCAAAUGGGUUCUUGAUAAUUAAUGUUGCCUUAUAACAUGCCCAGUGAAAAGUAGUGUCUUAAUGGUGGUGUUAUUUAAACCAAUGAUUCCAAACUCUAGCUCUAAACCCAAAGACAAGUUAGACGUUUGCCUGGCACCCAAAAAUAGUAAAAAAUAUAUCUACAAGCUGACAACACGCCACAUUGUGAGCUACUUCUUAAACAUUUUUUUUCUAAUUUAGGGAAUUUCUUAAAUUUCUUAGAUUCAUUUAGAUUCAUGAUUUGAUUUGGGGUAAUGUUGAGAUGUUGAAAUGUAUUGAAAUCUUAUAUAUUGAAUAAUAAUAAUGAUGAUGAUGAUGUUUGGGCAACAAUGAGUUAAAGCCACAUCACCUUUCCCUGUUUUAAGAGAGAUGGUUUUUUGUUUUUUAAUAUCAGAUUGGAGAAGGUGGAGAGGGUCCUGAGAAGGUUGAUCUUUCCAAACAUGCAACUGCAUUUCUUCUUCAAGCGAGAGAAACCCAACGACUGACACAG